AAGGCCUUAAACUACACUGUGACACAGGGCAAACUGAGCAUGUUUCUCUAGCAAUUACCUACCGGCUUUGCCUCGGCAGCACCAGAAACCGGCAAAUAUAUGUGUUUUACCACUGCGACCUCUCAAGGUGGAGUGUGGGACCACCAAUGAAAAAGAGGACCUCCACCUCAAGAGCACAGAGAAGCACUAAUGUUGUAUUCAAGCAACCAUUUUGUAGCUCUCAACUCUGUGCCAGCUACCUGUAAAAGUGCUGCUGUCAUUUUCGGAGACUCUAUUGUAUGAAACCUGGACUGUGCACCAUCAGCAUCUGAUUGAAAUCUUUCUGUGCAGAACAUGUCUUUCUCUUUGUCAGUAAUUUGGAUUUGUUCUGGAAGUGACAGAGAUUUUUCAGAAGAGAUGGGCUAACAGGCAAAGUGCCCGGGUUCUCUCAGACAGAGCAGAAGCAGAGCCUCUGGAAGAGCAAUGAUGACACUUCCGUCCCAGGCCCUUAAGUUCCAACACUUGUGUCUUGCAAUAUAUUUAAGACGAAAAGAGACCAGAAGGUCAGUAAUAGCUGACACAAUUCUUCUUCCCGGAUCCUGUGCUGUGACAUUCUUAGCUAUGCAACACUGACCAAACCCUGAGAGUGAAAAUAUCAAUGCACAGAUGGAACGGAUCACAACAAGUACAAAUGUGUUUUGGUCGCUCACUGCGUGCAUGCUUUGCUGUGCAUUCUCCAUGCCAGCUCUACGUGCUCAGAGAAGAUGCCCAAUGAGGGAAACUCAUAUCUCCCCUUUGGUCCACAAUGCUGUAAGAGCAAGUCACUUCAGGAGGGAAGUGCUUACUUGAGUGCAAGCAACCUGCCAGACUGAGCUCUAUCCUGAAGCCUGACUGCUGAUUCUGUGUUUUUGUUUCUUCAUUUGCCACCAUGCAUCUGUUGUUUUCGUUUAAACUUAUAAUUUCAGUUAACGGGGUGGCCUGGCUAGCACCCCAACAUUUCAUUUGGACUAGUGCAUUCCUCUCUCUCGACGAGAAGAUAUUGUGUGAUAUUUAAUCACAUACAGUAUUAGUCAAUAGUCUGAUGAAGUUAAGUAUUUGCUUUAACAGGUCUGCUAUUUUAUAAAAUCAUGCAGUAUGACUACUCUUAGCAAUAACUGAAAUACAAGAUCAUGCCCCGCUUCAUCACAUUGGGCUUAUAUUAGUGCAGUGGUUCUCAACCUGUGGGGUGAAGUAUCAAAAAGGGGGGCGCGAAGA